GAUGAACGCUGGCGGCGUGCCUAAUACAUGCAAGUCGAGCGAAUGGAUUAAGAGCUUGCUCUUAUGAAGUUAGCGGCGGACGGGUGAGUAACACGUGGGUAACCUGCCCAUAAGACUGGGAUAACUCCGGGAAACCGGGGCUAAUACCGGAUAAUAUUUUGAACUGCAUGGUUCAAAAUUGAAAGGCGGCUUCGGCUGUCACUUAUGGAUGGACCCGCGUCGCAUUAGCUAGUUGGUGAGGUAACGGCGCACCAAGGCAACGAUGCGUAGCCGACCUGAGAGGGUGAGCGGCCACACUGGGACUGAGCAACGGCCCAGACUCCUCCGGGAGGCAGCAGUAGUGAAUCUUCCGCAAUGGACGAAAGUCUGACGGAGCAACGCCGCGUGAGUGAUGAAGGCUUUCGGGUCGUAAAACUCUGUUGUUAGGGAAGAACAAGUGCUAGUUGAAUAAGCUGGCACCUUGACGGUACCUAACCAGAAAGCCACGGCUAACUACGUGCCAGCCGCCGCAGUAA
rnacentral:rRNA from 1 species